rnacentral:rRNA from 1 species
CAAUAGCGUAUAUUAAAGUUGUUGCAGUUAAAAAGCUCGUAGUUGAAUUUCUGGGCGGCCCGCCGGUCUUCCAUGUGUUGUACUGGGCGGCGCCGGCCAUCCUUGUGGAGAGGGCUCGCAUUUGGUUGCGUGUCGGAUCUGCAUCAUUUACUGUGAAAAAAUUAGAGUGUUUAAAGCAGGCUGUCGCUUGAAUACAUUAGCAUGGAAUAAUAAGAUAGGACUUCGGUCUAUUUUGUUGGUUGCGAACCGAGGUAAUGAUUAAUAGGGAUAGUUGGGGGUAUUCAUAUUUAAUUGUCAGAGGUGAAAUUCUUGGAUUUAUGAAAGAGGAACAACUGCGAAAGCAUUUACCAAGGAUGUUUUCAUUAA